CUAGCGGCUCAGAUGGUAAAGCAUCUGUCUGCAAGGCAGGAGACUCAGGUUCGAUCCCUGGGUUAGA
rnacentral:tRNA from 1 species